GUCAUGACAAAGCAAUACCAAUUAUAGACAAGGUGAUCGAUAGUCCUAAUCUUUUAUGGCAUAGGAACCCAAAUAGUUCACACCUGCUUUCAGCCCUUUAAAUGGUCUUUUGGACAUUUCUGCUCAAUGAAAGCAAAACAGACUUUUAGAAAUAUUACUUCAAAAGCAUCUUACAGGAAGCACCCUUUUCUAUAUACAGAUUCUCUUUCUCUAUCCUGACCAAUUGAUUCCAUUUUCCUGCCCAAUGUGUCCUAACAAAUUGAUUUUGGUAACAGAAAAAACCAUCGUCUCUACUACAGGUACUACUGUGGCUGCAUAUAUUCUGUUUGCAGGAGGUAUUGCAGCAAGUGGCCAAGAUUUCUCCAACAGCAACUCCCAAAUCUGCAGUUUUCACCACCUAAGACAAGAAUAAUGGAUAUAAGUGAACACCAUCAUCUCGAAGUCACCCAUCAACCUAAUUUGGACAAGUAUUACUGUUUCUUCAUUGUUAUUGGGUAAAGACCCUGGAACUCCCUCCUGCAAUAUUCAUGGAGCACCUUCACCACAUGAACCAUGCAACUCAAGAAGGCCAACUACUCCUUACCCUAAAGGUCAGAGGCUUUUCCUGGCUUGAAAAGUUUGACAAAUGUCAAAAACCUUCACAUCAUAAAUCAAGUUGCAUGGUACCUUCACUUGCUUGCAGAAGGCACAGGGUGACUGGCUCAUAGUUGUGAAGGUCUCUGACUUAUGGAUGAGAGGUUACAGCAACUGAUGAGAAAAAGCAGAUAGCCAUCUUCAGGCUUGAGAUGCUUUUUACUGCAGAGCAAAAACAGCUUCUUCCUGUCUGGACGUCAAAUAAUUUUGAUCCCAAACAUUCAUACCCCCAAGCGGUUCAGCCUUCUGGAAACCAAUAACAUAAAUGAUUGCAGGUAGGAGAACUUUGUCAUCAAUAAUUGUUCAACAUUUCACAGACCAAUCAACUACUUGUUGCUGGCCGAUCUCCAGUCUUACAUACCUCCCUAGCUCCACGUUAUGUAUAACUAAACUUUAUCCACUGCUUAAACCAGCAGCAGUGCAAACAGCACUUAGAAUGAGAGUCAAGUAAAGUGUUUUUUUUAAUGCCGCAAUCCUUCAACAAUUCUUGGUUUUUAAAUUAGUUCAUUUCCCAUUUCAGUCCACAAUCAAAAUUCAGAAAAAUGAAAAGAUACAGUCUUUUCUGUAUCCUUAAUACCCCUGACAACCUAAUUUUUUGCACUUAUUUGAGAUAUCUAGUAAAUUUGAAAUGUUGUUGAAAUUCCUCCUCCCUGUACCAGAUUUUUAAUCUGCUGAAUAUGAGGAAAUGUAUAUUAGACCGCUGACUGCUGAAUGUAAAUCUCCUGUGGCCACUGUAUGGAUUAGAAAUGCAAACAAAAUACAGCAUGUAAUUUAAUGAGCAGAAUAGAGUCAGAGAUCAAUGUCACUGCUGCAAGAACAUGCUGAGAUUGAACCUGAACUAUGAUCUUUUUGUACAAAAACAAUUCCAAAGUAGAAAAUACUGUCAGUUCCAGAUAGAGAUAUGACCCUUAAAAAUAGUGGAUGAACACUAAAUAGAUUUUUAAAAUACUUUUCCUGCUGUUUAAAUGCUUCUAACUUGUUCUUUUUAAACUGGUUAAUGCCUCUGUUGAAAUAGUGGGCGAAAGGACUUCAUGCGCAUGUGACUACUAAUGCCAUUUAGGCUUUAUUCAGGUUCUCUUUCUAGGUUCUGAAGGGCCUGACUCCAUUCUCAGCCAGGGGUUUCAUGACUGCAUUCAUUUUCAGAUACAGUUUGCGAUUUAUCACUUGAAUUUAGUCCUUGUGAGUUUGGCAGUUUAGUGAAGGAGGUGAGAUGUGGGUUGGGGUAGAAGCUGAGGAAGAAGGACUCAGUUGGUUGAGUGGCUAGACUCACCACAGCAUCACAGUGAAUUCCCAUUAUCCUAUUAUUAAGUUAUGAUGCUGUCAUUCUGUGUCAAUCCACUAUCUCUUACACAUUUGAACUAGGGAAUGGCUGGUGAAUCGAAUCUAAGAAUUACCAAAUGUUAAUCAAUCCUGGCACUUUAUGUGGGAAACGUUCUGCAGAAAUGCUGUUUAUAAGGCAGUUGACAUGAAAAAGUUAAUACAAAGCUUUUGUAUAGCUCUGCCAACUGAGAUAAAGAGGAGAGAGGAAGUCGUCAGUGUGUUGUUUGUGUCCAAUUAUCAGUUAGUCUUACUUAUAUUGUUGGCAACCAUAUAACUUGGAUUAAUCUAGUACUUCUUAAGAAAUACUCAGGUGUUCUAUAAUUAACCUUUAUUAAGCUAAUGUAACCUGUUGUCUUAGUUAGUAUGUAAUAAAUGACUUCUUGUUACUCA